rnacentral:rRNA from 1 species
UACGAAGGGGGCUAGCGUUGCUCGGAAUCACUGGGCGUAAAGGGUGCGUAGGCGGGUCUUUAAGUCAGGGGUGAAAUCCUGGAGCUCAACUCCAGAACUGCCUUCGAUACUGGGAGUCUUGAGUCCGGGAGAGGUGAGUGGAACUGCGAGUGUAGAGGUGAAAUUCGUAGAUAUUCGCAAGAACACCAGUGGCGAAGGCGGCUCACUGGCCCGGUACUGACGCUGAGGUGCGAAAGCGUGGGGAGCAAACAGG